rnacentral:misc_RNA from 1 species
UCUCCGUUGGUGAACCAGCGGAGGGAUCAUUGCUGGAAGCGUCUCACGGCGCACCCAGAAACCCUAUGUGAACUUAUACCACUUUGUUGCCUCGGCGGGCGCUGGUCUCGACCAGCGCUCACGCCCGCCGACGGCCCACAACUCAUUGUCUGACUCUAAGCAUCUCCGAGCCAUACACAAACGAAUCAAAACUUUCAACAACGGAUCUCUUGGUUCUGGCAUCGAUGAAGAACGCAGC